UUUCAUGGAGAGUUUGAUCCUGGCUCAGGACGAACGCUGGCGGCGUGCUUAAUACAUGCAAGUCGAGCGAGGUUACUGUUU
rnacentral:rRNA from 1 species